rnacentral:rRNA from 1 species
GGUUAAGUUAGAAAGGGCGCACGGUGGAUGCCUUGGCACUAGGAGCCGAUGAAGGACGGGACGAACACC